CUGGGAGGACCAUCUCCUAAGGCUAAAUACUCUCUAGUGACCGAUAGUGAACCAGUACCGUGAGGGAAAGGUGAAAAGCACCCCGGAAGGGGAGUGAAAUAGAACCUGAAACCGUGUGCUUACAAGUAGUCAGAGCCCGUUAAUGGGUGAUGGCGUGCCUUUUGUAGAAUGAACCGGCGAGUUACGAUUUGAUGCAAGGUUAAGCAGUAAAUGUGGAGCCGUAGCGAAAGCGAGUCUGAAUAGGGCGUUUAGUAUUUGGUCGUAGACCCGAAACCAGGUGAUCUACCCUUGGUCAGGUUGAAGUUCAGGUAACACUGAAUGGAGGACCGAACCGACUUACGUUGAAAAGUGAGCGGAUGAACUGAGGGUAGCGGAGAAAUUCCAAUCGAACCUGGAGAUAGCUGGUUCUCUCCGAAAUAGCUUUAGGGCUAGCCUCAAGUGAUGAUUAUUGGAGGUAGAGCACUGUUUGGACGAGGGGCCCCUCUCGGGUUACCGAAUUCAGACAAACUCCGAAUGCCAAUUAAUUUAACUUGGGAGUCAGAACAUGGGUGAUAAGGUCCGUGUUCGAAAGGGAAACAGCCCAGACCACCAGCUAAGGUCCCAAAAUAUAUGUUAAGUGGAAAAGGAUGUGGCGUUGCCCAGACAACUAGGAUGUUGGCUUAGAAGCAGCCAUCAUUUAAAGAGUGCGUAAUAGCUCACUAGUCGAGUGACACUGCGCCGAAAAUGUACCGGGGCUAAACAUAUUACCGAAGCUGUGGAUUGUCCUUUGGACAAUGGUAGGAGAGCGUUCUAAGGGCGUUGAAGCAUGAUCGUAAGGACAUGUGGAGCGCUUAGAAGUGAGAAUGCCGGUGUGAGUAGCGAAAGACGGGUG
rnacentral:rRNA from 1 species